GUCAGGACAAUUUCGUACCUACAACCGAUAUUGUGUCCUAAGGAGAACUUAUUUUCUUCCAGAGAGAUGCUAAAAUGCACGUCUUUGUUAAAUUCAUGAACAACAUGAACAUUCAAAAGAAUAGAUAACCUAUUAUUGCGCCAGCCUGUAUUAUUAUUGUACAGUCGAAGAUAUAUUCAUACUUUUGCACCUCACUUCUUCAGCGAAAAAAAAUAUACAUAUCUUUGAUGUCGACUGUAAAUAUAAAAAUAGUUACCUAACUAACCGUGUGUGUACUGUAAUAGUCAGACACACCCACUUUGACAGUAGAAAAUGCAACAAAUAAAAAAAAAUAGGUGCGAAUAAGAGUUCCUUAGAAAAUUUGAAUUUUGCCCCUUUUUCUACUGACAAAGUUGGUAUGUAAUAUAUGUAUGUAUGUAUACUUACUAUUUCUAGCAAUGAAUGGAAGGUAUUAAAUGUCACUUUAAUUCCUAA